CCACUCUGACCUUGGUACAGUUUAAUAACCUUGGAUGGUGACCACAUUGAUAAUACUCUGUCGCUAUUUUCAGAGUGAUUUUAACUGCGUUUUCUUUUUUUUUUUUUCUUGGCUGAACCCAUGGCAUGCAGAAGUUCCCAGGCCAGGGGUCGAACCCGCACCAUAGCGGUGAUCCAAGCUACAGCAGUGAUAAUGCCGGAUCCUUAACUCACUGAACCACUGGGGAACUCCUUAGCUAUGUGUUCUUAAUCGACCCUGGUAAAUGUAAUCUGCAUAUUCAAACCCACAGAACAGAAUCCACCCCAAUGGCCUGGCCCAAGUCACAAAUCUAUACCUAAGUCUGCCAGCACUUAUGGGAAAUAGCUCAGUGUCAAGGACACAAGCACACACCAGUGACAUUCCUCCCAUGCAGCCUUAGCGGUUGCACCUCACCCUAGAAAAUAGAACCUGCCAGGCUCUGGAGGAAAUCCUGAUCUCCAGGCUGAUCGUGCCCCAUUUCCAUGUUGCUGCUUCUGACCCAACAAGGCGCACUUUUGUCCAGCUUCCCUUCCUGCUGGGGAGUCUCUGCGAACUCAGUCCAUGGCUUGUUUUCCCUGGAAUAACAGAUAUUCAACGGAUAUCCGUUUCCCUUCAAUAACAGGUAUUAUAAUUCCUUACUAAGUUGUAUUAUUUUUCUCAUUAGAUAACCCUUACAGCAGUCUCUGGAGGUACGGAGGAUUUUUCUAGCUCGUUCUCAAGGAAGGCAGCUAAAGGUCAAGAAGUUGUGCAUUUGCUCUUCCCUCUCGGUCCUCCUGCCAUUCCCUGCCCAGGCACCUGCCGGGCAAAUAGGGGAUGCUCACAGUUUAUAACAUCAAAAAGAGAGUCUCUUCCUUCCUCUGCUCCUCAACAUGAGGCGAGGGAAAGGGAUGAAGCAGAGACUCAAGAAGAUGGAAAGGAGGACGGCGUUUGGUUAAGGACGGAGAGCAAGAACAGGAGUCCAGCUCUAGGCUGGCCUCUCAGUUGGACUGUCUGAUCUUGUGUGAGUCAUUCUUUUUUUUACUGACAUAGCAGUAUGUAGAGAGAAGGAGCACAGGCUUGAGAAAUACAUAUACCUGGCUGGAACCUUCAUUUUAGCUCUUACCAACCAGACCAUGUGACCUUAGGACUGGACUUAAUCUCUUUGAGCCUUGGUUCCCUCAUUUUCAACGUGUGACUAUCAAUAAGCCACCCUCCAAGUCUGUUUGGGGAAUCCAGUGAGAUUAUUUUGGUGAAACACCUGACACAGUGUUCGGUACCUGGCACAUACCCGGUAAGUAGAGCUUUUCAUUAUCUUUAAAGUAAGUGGUUAGAUCAGUUCCCGCUGAGCUUAGUUAGCAUUUUGUUAUCCAGGAUGUGGUGGACUGGCAUCCACGUGCGAUCUCAGCAAGUAACAUACUGAUACUCCACCCCCAUCACACAUGCAGAAGCCAUGCACUAGUAGAGCUCCCGGGCACAUAGAGCAGGUCACAUUACAGGCACAGAUUGGCCUGGCAUGGAGGCUGGACACCCCAUAACUGUUUGAAGACUUGGUUGCUUGAGCCACAUUUUCAUCCUCCCAUGGCUGAGUGAUCUAUUUUUUUUCCCCAAAGUUGCUAUAAAAUCAGAGAUGAGAGCUAGUACUGAAUCAAAGAACUGUGGUUCUUUGUCACAUACACUCUCUUGGGUUCCAUCCAACCUUAUUUUAAAUAUCUUUAGGGAUGGGCUUUUAUCACUUUUCUUGGAAGGUUUUCUUUAAAUAAUAAUUUUUUGCUGUCAUAAAGUUUUCUCUCCCAUUCAGGGAAAAAUUUUUCUUUCCUCCCUUAUACUCUUUUAGCCAUCCUGUCCUCAAUCUGAUUAAAUAAUUCCUCCCGCCAGUUCAGUAUUUCUCCUGUUAGAAUUUUGUAGUCAGUUAUUGGUCCCCCCUCUAUCAUUACUUAGCAACACCAGACAUAAGCUUUAUCUUUAAUCAUUUCUCAUAACUCACUCUGCCAUCGACAUACUCAUUAUUCUCUUUU
rnacentral:lncRNA from 1 species